GUGAACGCACACAGACAGCCCACGAUGAGUGCCCACACCGCACCCACGCUUCUCUGUGCUAAAGGAAAUGGGUGGUUGGCAUGAAGACAAAUGGGCACACAUACCCUCAGUGAUGCAACAAUUCCAGGAAAUAAAGCAGGCCUGGAUGGUGGAGAUUUUUCAGAAAUAACUGCAAAUUCAUUCAUGGAGUGGUGCCCCUAUCUCAAACCUUUGGAAAAUGUAUCACCAAGCAGCAUAUUUGCUGACUGAUGAACCAUUCACAGUUACAAAAUACACUGGACUAAAAGAUAAUUUAAAAAAAUAUUAUAAUAAUUUUAAGAUAUAAUUUCAGCCAAAUAUACCCCACUUGGACUACAAAUGGAUACAAUCCCCCCAGCUGGGAGUUCUCUUGUUUGUAUUCAACUGGUUAAAAUAUUGUUAGAAAAGAUUAUAUAAAAGUAUCAGUAGCAAAAAAACCUCAGUGAAACAGGAGACAGUCCUUUCCAGUGUUCAAAUUCCUUAAAGAUAAUAAACCUGAAAGUAAAAUGUAGGGAAGUACAAGGGCAUGGAAGAGACUGAGCCAACAGACAUUCCUAAGCAAGUGGGUCUGGUUUCAUGGGCACGGAUGCACACAGAACAGAACAAGCAGGCACCCUGAGGAGUGAUGAAGGUACUUCCAGAAUUUUUAAUUCUCCAUUGUCACGUUUUUGUAACUCUAUAUAGAGGGUAAAAUACUGCAUGAAUUGGAUACCCAGGAAUGUGCUAAAGAUCUGAAACAGUGCUAUGGAAGAGAGAAAAUGCACACACUGUACCCUCCUCAGCGUUCCCUGGGCUUUGUGGUGUUAAACUGAACAGGAGAUACUGCAGAGACUUGUGCAUUUACCCUCACACUCCCACUGGCCCCUACUGAUCACCAGCAACCACUUGGUGGAAGAGCUACUACAGAUUCUUGCCUUUACAUGACUGGCAGUGUACUGUGUUUUUUCUAAGGCACUUGGCAAGCAGGGGAACACAGAAUGUGUUUUUUUGCGGUGCAGAAGGAGUUAAGGAGCCAUGUGCCUGAGUUCCCUGCAGAUAGGAAUAAUGUGAGCCCCCUGACAAGCCAGGCAGGCAGCUCUGGCUCAGCAGAUAGCAGGAACAUGAACUGAAGGGGCAAAGACAUCUCACAAUUCCAACAGCCAUUCAUAUCCUAGGGAGAUUUCAGAGAGCUCUCUUGUCAUGUUUUAAACCAUGGCUGCAUUUCUCUUUGUCAGAGUGCAUUUGCCAGUUGCACUGCUGAGUUUUCAUAUGCAAGUCAGCCUACAGCAGUUUCCAGUAAUGGCAUCUUAUGCAAUUUCUGACCUACUUUAACACAUUGGGGCAUUUGGAGACAUGACAUCCACUGCAGCAGCUUUCUGCUUGACAGUGCGACACUGCAGCAGGAAGUGCAAGUCUUUACACAAACAUAUGGAUCCACUGAAACACAGACAAAGAGACUUCAAUUUUCAAGGUUAUUUGUCAAGCCAUUAAGGGCAUCCAGAUCGGUCAUCAUACAUGUUAUUUUUAGCUAGAAACUGUGCAUUGUUUCAAAAAGAUCAAAUGGUCAAGUCACUAAGCUGUUACAUAGGCACUGACCUGUGUGGCCCUUCUAGGCUGCAGUUUCCUGAAGAACACCUCAAAUGAGAGCUUGUGUGUGUGACUGAUGAUAAACCAUGACUUGGUUAGCAGUACAGGGAUCUUCUCUCUUGUCCCACCAGCCAGCUGUAUUCAGAAGAAAGGUGUCUUCUACACAUCCUCACAAACUCCAGCAAUAAAUGGAGUACCUCUGUUAACUAAAAGCUUUAUCAAAGAGGAUUUUUGAUACACUUUUAUUAAUUCCACUACCUAAUGUGGACCUAACUACUACCAGGGACCUAACACUACUAAAAGAAAGAGAGCAUAUAGAAUCAUUCCCACCAUUAAUUAGAACUAAGCCUUAAAUGGCAGAAGUAAUAAGAGGAAAUUUGGAUUACUAUCUCUUCCUUCUCCCCCAUGAGAAAUAAGACUCCAGACACAUUUCACUGUAUGGAAAUUUCAAAUAUGUGAUCUGAUUAAGGCGUCUGCCCACAGCUGUUUGAGUGAGCCAGCAGACACUUGUCACUGCAAACUAUGCUGAAGUUCAAGAUCUACAGAGCAGCGUAGAUCUUUAGAAUAAUGCUGGAAAGGUUGUUCUGUGCUUUUUUUCUUUCCUCCUCAAGUUUUGUUAUUAAGGGAAGUUUUAAGCAUGGCUGAAGCAAAGACCAUACACACCAUCAUGACUUUUCCCAUGCAGACAAAGCAAUUAAGGCCAAAUGACAUCAAGUAUUACUCACCAGCAGUUGCUUUACCUGGCUUCAUUAAUAGACAGUUAUCACUCUUGUCCUGCCACUGUGCAAUUUGUACCUCACUACUACAGUGCCUCAAUUAUCUUUCUUUCACUAUUUUCCUGCAAUAAUAAGGCUAUUAGUACUACUGAAAACUACAAGCAUUUUAGUAUACUCUUGCUUUGGGGCCAAUUACUUUCUGUCAAAUGAAAGAGGUUUUAUGUAAUGUUGUUAUUCACUGCAUUCUUGUUCUGUGUCCUUCAAGAUAACUAAUAAAAUUAAGAAACAUU